rnacentral:lncRNA from 7 species
AGAGUUCCCUCCAGGAUCCAGCAGCAGUUUGGAUGGUGCCAUCACCCACAGGUAUUCUCUGCUUCUGGAUAGGUACCAGCAUUGUUUGAUACCCUUCUCUAGAAGACACUUAACAUGGCCUUGGAGCUAGGCUAAAAUAAGAGCGCAAGAUGCACAUGACAUCAUAACACCAAAGAUUUUGUGACCUGCAUCACUUGAAAAGAUUCACAUCUUUUGGUAUGUCUUCUGGUUUUAUUUUGAAAGGCUGGCUUGCAUGCUGAUGCAUCAGUUUGUGGGCUGAAGAACUAUAUAAGAACUUACGUCUGGAGACUUCAAAAAUUAUGUGGACUGUAUGAGUGCCUUUCAUUUCCUUCAUGGUCUUCUACAUCCAACUAGAACUCGUUAUAUUUUUAGUCCUGGAAGUUUCUGAUUCAGCUGUGAUGUUGAUUGUGCAACCAUUUCUGCCCCAGGGCUUGCAUGCUAUCUACAUAAUAAUUAACAGGUUUAAAUUGUGAUAAGACUAUUUCUUUAUAUCUUAAAAUGCAGCUUAAAAAAUAAAGGAAUGUGAGCUAUUAGGUAUAUUACUCAGUUUUGUAUAUUAAAAACUGUGAAUAUUAUUUUCAAUGCACUAAUAAAUCCAGUUUUUAGAAAUUAUAUACUAUUGUAAAUGCACUGGAAGCUUUUUCUUCUCAAAAAUGAGAUUCUGAUCCACAAAAGUGGAACAACUUGUGCUAUUUUAAGCAAUUAAAAUUCCCAGUGAAUUCUUACUGAGGCUAAAAUAAAUAUAUAAGCUUAAAAACUAGACUUGAUCAAAAGUUGCAUUUGAAUUUCCUUUUUUUUUUUUUUUUUUUUUUUUAGUUUUAUGUAAUGAAAUGUGCCUUAGUUAAUUGUGCCUUAAUUCUACUUUUUUCUAUACACACUGAGUGAUCAGCAAGCCACUGAAAACUCUUCAAUUCUCACUCUGAGCUCUAUUAAAAAAAAACACCCAUAGGAUUUCACAUUUUAGGUCUGUUAAUGCUAUCAAGGCAUUAUGUCAGUAGAGAAAAACUCAAGAAAAAAUUGGUAGUUUGACAGGUCAGAACAUGAAUAGGACUCUGAAACGUGUCUCACACUAAAGUCCUGAAACAGUCCCAUUCAUAUGAACUAUCAUAACCAAAUGGAGUGAUUAUUAUAGCUACAGUGCAGUUAUAACUGUAUCUUCUAAUUAAUUACGUUUCUCACAGACACUGAGGCUCACAUAUCUGUUUGUUAACAUUCAGGCAGUAUUUCUCAAUCUUCUUCUCCAGACCUCCAGAAUCUUCUUACUCAGACCUUGGUAUUCUUGUCUGUGUUUAUUCAAAAGGGAAGACAAGAUGAACCUUCUCUCUAUUUACUAGAAGUUGUUACUAAGUCAGUGUUUCAAAGAACAAUUGCUUCAAAUCUUGCAUUACACCUACUUCAAACAAUGUUCUUGUAGUUUUCUCCUUACUACUUCUUGCUUUACAUAUUGAUUCUAAAUAUCUCCACCUAGUUCUUCUCUCAGUGUAACUCUCCUUAAAAGGAUACUGUAGCAAAAGCAAAACACUCCGGAGAUUACUCCAGAGUAUCUCUCCAGAGUAGUUCCCUCAGCAUCAUAUGGAAGAAUUAUUUAUCUUGGUAGUGACUCUUCUUUCAUUAAAUUUUGAGAGCAUUUGCCAUGAAAAUGGAAAGCACUUGUUUCUGAGGAAAAACAAGUGUGUGUUCUUGCCAUAUAUUGGGUAGAUGAUUACAUUGUUCUUUCAUCUUCUCCUAUAGCUGUAAUCUGAAAACUACAUUUUAAUAAUGCUAAAAUAUACACUCCUUGGGAAAAAAAUAAAAUAAAAUUGUUGCAUGAAAAAUAUUACUAUUUAUGAAAAGAAUACUUUUAUUAUAAAAUAACAUGGUCAUUGUAUUAAAAAUAACAGUCAUGUU